UUCUAUGGUGGCACACACCUAUGACCUCAGUUACUAAGAGAACUAAGGUUGGUGGAUGUUUUGACCUUGGGAGUUCUGAGUAGCAGUGGACUAAGUGGAUCAGAUAUCUGCACUAAGUCCAGUACCAAAAUGGUGAGAGUUGGGGAUGCACCAGACUGCCAAAGGAGGGAACUGGUCCAGGUCAGAAAGAAAGCAGGUCAAAGCUCUAGUGCUGAUCAGUAUUGAGAUCAGGCCCAUGAAUACCAUUGACUUCCUCGGCAAGAUAGGGAAACCCAGUCUUUA
ensembl:misc_RNA Metazoa_SRP Metazoan signal recognition particle RNA